GCGGUAAUGGCUGGUUUGGUUUCACCUUCAUGAUAACAAAUUCAUUACUGCAUUGCCGUUCAUCCCUGUUUUUUAAACGUUGAGAGGACUGUCUGUGUACAGUUCUCAGUCUUUAUUAAAUUUGUAGCAUUUUAGUUAAGUUCAGUUGGCGCAGCUUACUAACUGGUAACAGUUUUUUUUCUUUUCAUGGUUAGGUAGGUUCUUGGAAAAGAAACGGGCGCCAUUUUCAGAAUCAGCUUUAUUGUCGAGUUUGUACAGACAAGCAAAGAAUAUGACUCCGGUACAUUUUGCUCUCAAUAAUAAAGAAUAUAUUUUUAAAUGUACAUAUACGCGAUUGAAUUUACAAUGGAAUAAUUUUGGGACGUCUGCAGCAUCAAAAUAAUUAGAAAAAAAAUUAAUUGUAAAGAAUUGUAAAAAUUGAGUUAGAAAGAGGAUAUUUUGUUCAAAAUGCAUCAGAAAUGUCUUCAAAAGCAGAAAUUCUCCAACUUGACACCAAUAGGAUAAUCAUCAAUGAAGCAAAAGGAGCAAAAUCUGGAGCAGCAGGCUACUAACAUACCUGUUGUAUGUUCUCCUGAUGGACUCGAAACAGCUUGGGGACCUCUAGCAGCGUCUUCCAUUCAGUGACAGCAGGAGAAGUGGACAGGUUGAAGUGGCUGUAAUCCAAAUG